rnacentral:rRNA from 1 species
AUGAUCCAGGACAAGGUCAAUAUGGAGGGCUGGUAUCAUUUGAAGGACGCAGUCCUUGAUGGUGGCCUCCCGUUCCAAAGAGCAUACGGGAUGACGUUGUUCGAGUACAAUAACACGAACAUGCACGUUAACCGCAUGUUCAACGAGGCCAUGAAGAACCAUUCAACCAUCAUCACCAAGAAGCUCCUUGAGUUCUACAGGGGCUUUGACAGUGUCGGCACCCUUGUUGAUGUCGCAGGUGGUGUGGGUGCAACCAUCCACACCAUCACCUCCAAGUACCCGCACAUCAAGGGGGUCAACUUUGACUUGCCGCACGUUAUCUCUGAUGCGCCGUCCUUCCCUGGUGUGGAGCAUGUCGGGGGUGACAUGUUCGAGAAGGUGCCCUCCGGCGAUGCCAUCCUCCUAAAGUGGAUCCUUCAUGACUGGACUGACAAGCAUUGCACGAAUCUACUAAGGAACUGCUUUGACGCACUCCCUGCUCACGGCAAGGUCAUCGUCAUGGAAGGCAUCCUGCCGUUGAAACCAGACUCAACAUCCAGGGGGCAGCUGAUGUUCUUAGGUGACAUGAUCAUGCUCAUGCACACCCCAGGUGGCAAGGAGAGGCAACAGAGGGAGUUCGAGGAGCUUGCAAGGGGUGCAGGGUUCACCAGUGUCAAGACCACUCACAUCUACGGCAAUGCGUGGGUCAUUGAAUUCAUGAAAUAA